rnacentral:rRNA from 1 species
GAUCAUGGCUCAGAUUGAACGCUGGCGGCAGGCCUAACACAUGCAAGUCGAGCGGAUGAAGAGAGCUUGCUCUCUGAUUCAGCGGCGGACGGGUGAGUAAUGCCUAGGAAUCUGCCCGAUAGUGGGGGACAACGUUUCGAAAGGAACGCUAAUACCGCAUACGUCCUACGGGGGAAAGCAGGGGACCUUCGGGCCUUGCGCUAUCAGAUGAGCCUAGGUCGGAUUAGCUAGUUGG